ACCUAUGAAGGUCGAAGGGGAAGAAAAGCUGUAUCGAUUGUUGAGAUCUGGCGACUUGUUUAAAUUUCAUCAGCCUCACUUCUAUGAACUCUCAGGCCUCACGUGUACCAGCUCUCUGCUCUCCUUUGCCUUGGGACGUUCCAUCCCUGGAAGUUUCCCUGCCCACAUCUUUGUAGAGAGUCCAUUCUCCAAGCUUCAGUGUGUCAUCUGUGAGGACCGUGACCCACCUGGUACAUCGCCUCAGGGCAUUCAUUUCAGGCUCCUUCUAAAUGGCCAAGAUCUUGCUUUCUUUUGUAUGUUUGCAAAGAAUAUAUAGUACACUUCCUUGAUCUGUGGUUCCUAAAGUGUGAUUCCCAACAAGCAGCAUCAGGAUCAUCUGGAAACUUGAUAGAAAUGUAAAUUCUACAGUCCCUCCUUGGAGCUACAGAUUCAGAAAUUCUGAAGUUUAAGUCCAGCAGUUGGUUAUAAUAAGCUCUCUAGGUGAUUCUGACUUGCACCAAGGCACCCUUGGAAAUGCAAUGCUACAUCUCAAUGGGAUUUUCCAGUACAAAGAUUCUUUUCAAAUAACAUAAUUGUGGAUACACACCACUCCUACAGUGGUAAACCUCAGGUUCUCCUCCUGCCUUUUGCUAAGUAUAUGUCUUGAUGACAAGCCUUCUGCUGAUGAGCUGUGUUUCUGGACCGAUCAUGGUAGAAGUCAAUUAACGUGUCCCUCACUU
rnacentral:lncRNA from 1 species